rnacentral:rRNA from 1 species
UACGUAGGGUGCAAGCGUUAAUCGGAAUUACUGGGCGUAAAGCGUGCGCAGGCGGUUAUGUAAGACAGAUGUGAAAUGCCCGGGCUUAACCUGGGAACUGCAUUUGUGACUGCAUGGCUAGAGUUUGGCAGAGGGGGGUAGAAUUCCACGUGUAGCAGUGAAAUGCGUAGAUAUGUGGAGGAACACCGAUGGCGAAGGCAGUCCCCUGGGUCAAGACUGACGCUCAUGCACGAAAGCGUGGGGAGCAAACAGG